UAGGGAAUCUUCCGCAAUGGACGCAAGUCUGACGGAGCAACGCCGCGUGAGUGAAGAAGGAUUUCGGUUCGUAAAACUCUGUUGUUAGAGAAGAACAGCGCAUAGAGUAACUGUUAUGCGUGUGACGGUAUCUAACCAGAAAGCUCCGGCUAAAUACGUGCCAGCAGCCGCGGUAAUACGUAUGGAGCGAGCGUUGUCCGGAAUUAUUGGGCGUAAAGGGUACGCAGGCGGUUUAAUAAGUCGAAUGUUAAAGAUCGGGGCUCAACCCCGUAAAGCAUUGGAAAAUGAUAAACUUGAGUAGUGGAGAGGAAAGUGGAAUUCCUAGUGUAGUGGUGAAAUACGUAGAUAUUAGGAGGAAUACCAGUAGCGAAGGCGACUUUCUGGACACAUACUGACGCUGAGGUACGAAAGCGUGGGGAGCAAACAGG
rnacentral:rRNA from 1 species